UACGGAGGGUGCGAGCGUUAAUCGGAAUUACUGGGCGUAAAGCGCGCGUAGGCGGCGUGAUAAGCCGGUUGUGAAAGCCCCGGGCUCAACCUGGGAACGGCAUCCGGAACUGUCAGGCUAGAGUGCAGGAGAGGAAGGUAGAAUUCCCGGUGUAGCGGUGAAAUGCGUAGAGAUCGGGAGGAAUACCAGUGGCGAAGGCGGCCUUCUGGACUGACACUGACGCUGAGGUGCGAAAGCGUGGGUAGCAAACAGGAUUAGAUACCCCGGUAGUCC
rnacentral:rRNA from 1 species